ACGAACGCUGGCGGCGUGCCUAAUACAUGCAAGUAGAACGCUGAAGAGAGGAGCUUGCUCUUCUUGGAUGAGUUGCGAACGGGUGAGUAACGCGUAGGUAACCUGCCUUGUAGCGGGGGAUAACUAUUGGAAACGAUAGCUAAUACCGCAUAACAAUGGAUGACACAUGUCAUUUAUUUGAAAGGGGCAAUUGUUCCACUACAAGAUGGACCUGCGUUGUAUUAGCUAGUAGGUGAGGUAAUGGCUCACCUAGGCGACGAUACAUAGCCGACCUGAGAGGGUGAUCGGCCACACUGGGACUGAGACACGGCCCAGACUCCUACGGGAGGCAGCAGUAGGGAAUCUUCGGCAAUGGGGGCAACCCUGACCGAGCAACGCCGCGUGAGUGAAGAAGGUUUUCGGAUCGUAAAGCUCUGUUGUAAGUCAAGAACGGGUGUGAGAGUGGAAAGUUCACACUGUGACGGUAGCUUACCAGAAAGGGACGGCUAACUACGUGCCAGCAGCCGCGGUAAUACGUAGGUCCCGAGCGUUGUCCGGAUUUAUUGGGCGUAAAGCGAGCGCAGGCGGUUUGAUAAGUCUGAAGUUAAAGGCUGUGGCUCAACCAUAGUUCGCUUUGGAAACUGUCAAACUUGAGUGCAGAAGGGGAGAGUGGAAUUCCAUGUGUAGCGGUGAAAUGCGUAGAUAUAUGGAGGAACACCGGUGGCGAAAGCGGCUCUCUGGUCUGUAACUGACGCUGAGGCUCGAAAGCGUGGGGAGCGAACAGGAUUAGAUACCCUGGUAGUCCACGCCGUAAACGAUGAGUGCUAGGUGUUGGAUCCUUUCCGGGAUUCAGUGCCGCAGCUAACGCAUUAAGCACUCCGCCUGGGGAGUACGACCGCAAGGUUGAAACUCAAAGGAAUUGACGGGGGCCCGCACAAGCGGUGGAGCAUGUGGUUUAAUUCGAAGCAACGCGAAGAACCUUACCAGGUCUUGACAUCCCGAUGCUAUUUCUAGAGAUAGAAAGUUACUUCGGUACAUCGGUGACAGGUGGUGCAUGGUUGUCGUCAGCUCGUGUCGUGAGAUGUUGGGUUAAGUCCCGCAACGAGCGCAACCCUUAUUGUUAGUUGCCAUCAUUUAGUUGGGCACUCUAGCAAGACUGCCGGUGACAAACCGGAGGAAGGUGGGGAUGACGUCAAAUCAUCAUGCCCCUUAUGACCUGGGCUACACACGUGCUACAAUGGUUGGUACAACGAGUUGCGAGUCGGUGACGGCAAGCUAAUCUCUUAAAGCCAAUCUCAGUUCGGAUUGUAGGCUGCAACUCGCCUACAUGAAGUCGGAAUCGCUAGUAAUCGCGGAUCAGCACGCCGCGGUGAAUACGUUCCCGGGCCUUGUACACACCGCCCGUCACACCACGAGAGUUUGUAACACCCGAAGUCGGUGAGGUAACCUUUUGGAGCCAGCCGCCUAAGGUGGGAUAGAUGAUUGGGGUG
rnacentral:rRNA from 1 species